rnacentral:rRNA from 1 species
AUGGUGUCGGCCACCAAACUAGAAGGUGGAUAUUGUUUUCACAGCAAGAACUCUCCUCUCGAUCAACCUGAAGGUGUGAAGAUACAUCUUUACCGUCUUGGAAUAGAACAGCGUGAACAUGAUGCCCUCAAAAGCUUUGCAUGUGCUGGUGAAGGCAGCCCAAGUUUACUUGAUACAAUCAUUCUUUCUCAGUGGGAGAACUUUGCUCAGAAGGGCCAGUUGGGAUAUGAUGUUACUACUUGCGAACUUAAGGUCAUUGAAGGUCAAAGGGAUUUUGUUAUUCAGAUGAAUGAUAAAUGGAAUUCAUUUUCCCUCAAGAAAUAUGACAAGUUCGGCCAUCCUUUCGGAUGCUUGAAGCCAAAUUCUGCUAGAAGCUACGAGGAAUUACUUUUGUGCAUCGCAGAAGGAGAAAAUAAUGAACCGGAGGUUGUUCCUUCGAUUACACCCCCAAACAAUGGAGUACUGCUGAUCGCGAAUGCAUAUCCUGUUGAAUAUGGUCACAUUUUCUUGGUCCCAAAUGCAACUAAUCAGCUAUCUUCCUUUUGGGAUAAAAGGAUGUUUGGGCUGAUUACAAAGAUUGCCUCUGAAGUAAACAGUGCAGCGUUCCGGGUUUUCUUUGAUGAUGGUACAUCUAUUGUGCCAAAGCACAUGUUUUUUCAGGCCUGUUACUUUGCCAAUCCUUUACCAGUGGAGUCUUCCUCAACUGUUGCAUUAUAUGAUGGGGCAACCAGAUCAGGCAUUUGUGUGUCUGAAAUAGUUGAUUACCCUCUAAAAGCACUUGUGUUCACGAGCACCAAUGUAAAUGCACUUGUCGAUGUAGUGAGUGAAGCAUGCUUGGCUUUGCAUGAGAACAAUACUGUGCACAGCCUAAUGAUGUCCAACAACGGCAGAAAUGUUUUCUUAUUCCCCCAGGUGAAAAAUCUGGUCACUGGCUGCUGUCUUUCUGCCUGGGAGUGCUGUGGCUACUUUGUUUAUCACACCAAAGUUGAUUUCGACCGAGCUUCUGAGACCGGAAUUUCCAAUAGGAUGGCUUCGUUCUCGUUCCAAGAUGGUGACUUUGAAGACUUGAAGAAACUCUGCUGCGCUAUAGCUGAUGGCCUUGUUACCUAA